rnacentral:rRNA from 1 species
GGCUCAGAACGAACGCUGGCGGCAGGCUUAACACAUGCAAGUCGAGCGCCCCGCAAGGGGAGCGGCAGACGGGUGAGUAACGCGUGGGAAUCUACCCUUGACUACGGAAUAACGCAGGGAAACUUGUGCUAAUACCGUAUGUGUCCUUCGGGAGAAAGAUUUAUCGGUCAAGGAUGAGCCCGCGUUGGAUUAGCUAGUUGGUGGGGUAAAGGCCUACCAAGGCGACGAUCCAUAGCUGGUCUGAGAGGAUGAUCAGCCACAUUGGGACUGAGACACGGCCCAAACUCCUACGGGAGGCAGCAGUGGGGAAUAUUGGACAAUGGGCGCAAGCCUGAUCCAGCCAUGCCGCGKGAGUGAUGAAGGCCCUAGGGUUGUAAAGCUCUUUCACCGGAGAAGAUAAU